UCGUAGCCCCGAUUGCAGCGGAAAGCCUUGAGCAGCAAAAACUGAUUUUUUCUUGCGGACACAAAGCGACCAACGGAAGCUCUUGGGGCGGCUUAGAAAAAACAGUUUUUGCAAACAAGCUUGCAGCGGAAAGCGGGAAUAGCU
rnacentral:sRNA from 1 species